rnacentral:rRNA from 1 species
GACAGAGGGUGCAAACGUUGUUCGGAAUUACUGGGCUUAAAGCGCACGUAGGCGGCGUCGUAAGUGUCGGGUGAAAUCCCACGGCUCACCCGUGGAACUGCCCGGCAUACUGCGACGCUAGAGUGUGGUAGGGAAGAGCGGAACUCCUGGUGGAGCGGUGAAAUGCGUAGAUAUCAGGAGGAACACCGGUGGCGAAGGCGGCUCUUUGGUCCACAACUGACGCUGAGGUGCGAAAGCCAGGGGAGCAAACGGG